rnacentral:rRNA from 1 species
CCUACGGGUGGCUGCAGUGGGGAAUAUUGCACAAUGGGGGGAACCCUGAUGCAGCAACGCCGCGUGAGUGAAGAAGUAUUUCGGUAUGUAAAGCUCUAUCAGCAGGGAAGAAGAUGACGGUACCUCGUAAGAAAGCCCCGGCUAACUACGUGCCAGCAGCCGCGGUAAUACGUAGGGGGCAAGCGUUGUCCGGAAUGACUGGGCGUAAAGGGAGUGUAGGCGGCUUAUCAAGUUAGAUGUGAAAUCCCGCGGCUUAACCGCGGAACUGCAUCUAAAACUGGUGAGCUGGAGUGCAGGAGAGGUGAGUGGAAUUCCUAGUGUAGCGGUGGAAUGCGUAGAUAUUAGGAGGAACACCAGAGGCGAAGGCGACUCACUGGACUGUAACUGACGCUGAGGCUCGAAAGCGUGGGGAGCAAACAGGAUUAGAUACCCCAGUAGUC